UGAUUGCUGAUCGAUGACCGGCGAUGGC
rnacentral:sRNA from 1 species